rnacentral:tRNA from 1 species
GAGGGUAUAGUUCAGUGGUAGAGUGCAUGCUUAGCAUGCACAAGGUCCUGGGUUCUAUCCCCAGUACCUACA